GACGAACGCUGGCGGCGUGCUUAACACAUGCAAGUCGAACGGAAAGGCCCUGCUUUUGUGGGGUGCUCGAGUGGCGAACGGGUGAGUAACACGUGAGUAACCUGCCCUUGACUUUGGGAUAACUUCAGGAAACUGGGGCUAAUACCGGAUAGGAGCUCCUGCUGCAUGGUGGGGGUUGGAAAGUUUCGGCGGUUGGGGAUGGACUCGCGACUUAUCAGCUUGUUGGUGGGGUAGUGGCUUACCAAGGCUUUGACGGGUAGCCGGCCUGAGAGGGUGACCGGCCACAUUGGGACUGAGAUACGGCCCAGACGCCUACGGGAGGCAGCAGUGGGGAAUAUUGCACAAUGGGCGGAAGCCUGAUGCAGCAACGCCGCGUGCGGGAUGACGGCCUUCGGGUUGUAAACCGCUUUCGCCUGUGACGAAGCGUGAGUGACGGUAAUGGGGAAAGAAGCACCGGCUAACUACGU
rnacentral:rRNA from 1 species